rnacentral:lncRNA from 1 species
AUAUAUAUAUAUAUAUAUAUAUAUAUAAUACGUCUUUUGUACUUUUGAAAGUAGUUUUCGUAUUUAUAAAUUUUUUCGAUGAUAGGACAUUUAAUUUGACGAUCGGCUCCGUUAGACAUAAUCUACGUUAUUGGAACUAUUUAGAAACCAAAUUUUAUAAUUUUUCGAAAUCAUUUAUCAAGCGAUCACGGGGUCUCAAAAUUGACUAUUUUAACGGCCAAUGUGUCACAUUUUUAAUUUCAACGGUGUAGAAAUAUUCAAAUUAUAUGAAAAUUUAAUAAAAAAUUCUACUUAACAUUAAGAAUAAGAAUAAUACUCCAAUUUGAAAUUUGAGUCAUUUAUCACUAUUUUUUAUGAAAUUUUUAUUUUCAGUCGUUCAUUUUGAGGCUACUUGUUCACUAGAUAAACGAAGUCAUAAAAUUAUAAAAUUUGAUUUCUAAAUAGUUCAAAUAGCAUAAAUCAUGUCUAACAAAACCGAUUACUGAAUCGGAUGUCCUACCAUUGAAAACAACUUACAAGUACGAAGGUCUCCGUACUUUCGAAAAUAUAGGAACCUAAUUCUAUAUAUGUAUGUAUAAAUGUUGCUAAAGACAUCUAAUUUUUUCUUCAAUUCCUAAGCAUAAUAUUUUUUUCUGUCUACAACUUAGUAACAAUUCUCCCUGCGAACGAUUUUUUGAAAACCGUUUAAAUUACGAAAAUUUCUCUUUCCCUUUGUGCUCUCUUUCUCAAAUUUGAUGAAUUUGUAAAUAAAGAUUUAUGCGAAAAGAACAAUUUUUAAUAUGUUCUAUUCAAUGGUAAAAUUUUUUAUCAAGUUUUUUAUUAAUAGAUUGUUGGCUUAAAUGGGUCAGCAUCCUGCCCUGUGGCCGGAGGUCAUGUGGGCCGAGUCAUGUUCGAAAUGGCGUGAAGCUGGGUUGGGUUGAGUCAUGUUCGAAGUGGCGUGAGGCUGGUUGGGCCGAGUCACAAUCGAGACCCGUAAGCGCUGUAUUUGUUCGCUUUAAAAGUGAAUUGAUUAUGUAUUUCUAACAAGUCGAGCUUUUGGGAUUAAUGGCUAGCGCCAACGAUUUGACAUAGAUAUGCAUACUAAUUUUAUUAUCUCCAAGG